CGAACUAAUAUGUCUGCGUACUGUGUGUGUGUGUGUUUGAUUUUUUGCUUGAGCAGCAACGAUUAGCUUGGAAUGAAGCGAGUACUUGUAGUUUUUGAAAUACGGGUUGACCGUUGACUUUUUGCCUGAUAGUACUGCUAUCGCACCCUCAUGAUGUGAUAGCUCAGCUAAACGUGUAAGUGAAUACAAGGUUACAUUUUACCAAGUUCAAGACUUCAACAUCAAGCACGAUGCCAAAUGACGAAGAAGUCAUUGCAGAUAGUGAAGAGGCUUUUAUUGAUGCCUACCUCGCAGAAUGCAGGGAACGACAGCAGGCAAAGGCUCAGUUGCGCGAAAAAAACUUGAAUGCAGCGGCAAACCGGCCUGAGGAGGCAUUCUUCAGCAAGCUGGACUCAAACCUCAGGAAAAACACAGCAUUUGUGAAGAAAUUGAAAACGAUAACGGAGGCGCAGAGGGACUCACUAAUGCGGGACAUGACAGGGUUGAACUUGACCAAGUACAUCAGCGAGGCAGCUGCUUCCAUCAUCGAAGCCAAGCUAAAGAUGUCCGAUAUUCAGACGGCGGUUCAAGUCUGUUCGGCACUUCACCAGCGCUAUGCAGAGUUUUCCACACAGCUCCUGGAAAACUGGCAGAAAGUGCUGCCGCUCAAGAAAGAUGACAAGAACACAAACUUGAGCAAAACUCGGGUGGACCUAAGGUUCUUUGCCGAGCUGGUGUCCUGUGGAGUGUUUACACAAAAAGAAGGUUUGCCAGUAUUAAGGAACCUGCUGACUUUCCUAACAACGAGUGAUCGUGAGGAUCACAGCAACCUGAGCAUUUUACUGAGCUUCUGUCGUCACUGCGGUGACGACUUUGCUGGCCUGCUGCCGCGGAAAGUUCGUCUGCUGUGUGAAAAGCAUGGACGGAUGACACCUACCAAUGAUUUUCUGACUGUGGAGAAACAGAAGAGCAUCCAGAGUCUGCUGAAGGAAUACUUCAGGCAAAUCUGUCGGCACCUGCAGAGGGACCACAAGAACCUGCAGGUGAUGGAACGCCAUAACCGCAGGGUCCUGCAGACCAAGGGGGAGCUGAGUGCUGAGCAGAAGGAAAAAUGUGAGGCGGCUCACCUGGCAUUCCAGAAGCUCUCCACCACGACGCAACAGCUGGCAGAAUUACUCGAUGAAGAUAUGCCUGAUUUACCGAUGGAAGAGAUGACCACUCUGGAUAAUGAAGGUGGGAGUUUGGAUGUCCACAACAGGUUCAAAGGAGGCGAGUUGGAUGCAACGAGCUCGUUGUGGGAAGAUGAAGAUUCUCGCAGCUUUUAUGAGAACUUGCCCGACCUCAAGGCGUUCAUUCCUGGUAUUCUCUACAAGGACAGCGCGCAGGUGACCAACAAUGUUCCACCGUUAGAAGAAGCAUCUGAGGCGUCCUUGGAGGAGGACUUGCAAAAGUUGGAGAUUGAGGGAAUCAUGGAAGUGGAGGUUGAGAAGGAAGGGGGGAAGGAAGAGAAGGACCUCACGGAGACACUUCUGCAAGAAAUUGAAGCCCCUGAAGAACAAGAAGCUGCUGCUGGUGGUCCUGGUGUGGCGAACAAGCUCCUGCUGGACAGUUUUCUCACCUCACUACUUCACUGCGUCAAUCGAGAGAUGGUGGACCAGGCAGCUAUUCAGUUCUGCAUGAACCUUAACACAAAGCCGAACCGCAUCAAGCUAGUGCGUGCUUUGUUUCUCGUUCCACGAACCAGGUUGGACUUGUUGCCGUUUUAUGCUCGCCUUGUGGCCACACUGAAUCCGUGCAUGCCGGACGUUGCCAACGAACUGGUCGGCAUGUUGAAGCAAGAUUUCAAGUUUCACAUAAAGAAGAAAGACCAGAUCAACAUCGAGUCCAAAGUAAAAUCUGUCCGCUUCAUUGGUGAACUGGUCAAAUUCAGUAUUUUCCCAAAAUCUGAAGCUCUGUUCUGUCUCAAGAUGCUCCUCCUUGAUUUUAUGCACCAUUACAUCGAGAUGGCGUGCAACCUGCUGGAGACGUGUGGGCGAUUCUUGUUCCGAUCACCCGAUUCCCAUCACAGAACCAAGGUCUAUCUGGAACAGAUGAUGCGUAAGAAGGCAGUCCAGGCCCUCGAUAGCCGUUACACGACCAUGAUUGAGAAUGCCUUUUAUUACUGCAAUCCUCCCGAAACACCGGCGGUAGCCUAUGUUGCUCGCCCACCCCUGCACCAAUACAUCCGCAAGUUGUUGUACAAAGACUUAGCUAAGAGCAGUACUGAAAAGGUUCUGAGGCAGAUGAGAAAACUGGACUGGGAGAACCCAGACGUAGCUGCAUAUGCAACGAGGUGUCUCACGGCUAUAUGGAACGUAAAAUACUACAACAUACGCUGCGUUGCAAACCUCUUGGCCGGCUUAGUGGCCUACCAGGAGACUGUAGGCCCUCAGGUUGUGGAUGGCGUCCUGGAAGACAUACGGCUCGGCAUGGAGGUGAACCACCCGAAAUACAACCAGCGUCGCGUGAGCAUGGUCCACUACCUCGGAGAACUGUACAACUACCGCAUGGUGGAAUCGUCUGUCAUCUUUAAGGUUCUCUACUCUUUCAUCACUUUGGGAGUCAACCUAGACGGAUCGCCGUCCGACCUGGAUCCCCCGGAUCACCUGUUCCGCAUUCGCCUGGUCUGCAUCUUGUUGGAGACCUGUGGCCAGUACUUUAACACUGGGUCAUCCAAGAAAAAGCUCGACUGCUUUAUAGUAUUCUUCCAGAGAUACUACUGGCAGAAGAGAUCCUCCGAAGCAUUCGGAGAGGAAGUGGGGUUUCCCGUAACCGUGGACUAUCUCGUCAAGGACACGCUUCUGAUCCUGAGACCUAAAACCAAACUGGCUGAGAACCUGGAAGAAGCUGUUGCAGCGGUUGAGAGUCUCCUUUCCGAAUUGAAGCCAAAAUUGCCGGAGUUAUUAUCGUCUGUGCCAGCCAACGAACCUGGAGACCAGGGCGGGAAACAAGCGAGAGACGCAGACGUCCUCGGACCAAUUCAAGAGGUUGAAGAGGAUCCGGACGAGGACAAUCACAGCAUUGAAUGCAGUGACCAAGAAACAGAGGUUGACGUUGACACAGAUCCACUGAGCAACAGCCAGAGCCAGCCUCUUUAUGAUGACCUCAACAUGAGCAGCGACGAAGAUCACGCCAUGGUGGAAGGCACUUCGUCGCAGGAUGCACUGAGACUGGUGCAGCGCAAGCCAAAGCACAUUGUGUGCACAGAGGAUGAGGAUUUCAUGACAGCGUUCGACAAGAUGCUGUCGGAAAGCCUUCUGCACAGGAACCAGGAAGCAGUGAAGCCACAGGCCGACAUCGUCAUUCCCAUGAGCAUCCGAGGUGGAACGCAAAAGAAAGUCUACGCUAGUAUCGACAAAAAAAUGGAAGAAGAAAAAAGCACGAUGAAUUUUAUCUUGAUGACUCGAAAAGGUCACAAGCCUCAGUUCAAGAGUCUGGAGGUGCCCGUGUCGUCCGAGCUCGCGCAGAACCUCAGGGACCGAGAAGAAGCUGAGCGAGUCGAGAAAGAGCAGGUCAAGAUGCUCACUCUCAACAUCAACGAAAGACAAGAGGAAGAGGAUUAUCAAGAAAUGUUGGCAGCACAGCAGAGGCCGGUCGUACUCAACCUUAAUCGUGAUCGACGCCACAAGUAUCAACACCCCAAGGGCGCACCCGACGCCGACGUCAUCUUCGGAAAUAAAGACAAUGGAAGAUAUGCCUAGUAAGGACUUACUGAAUAUGGAGCUAAAAAUAUGAUCUGAGAGAGCACUGAAGUGACCAGUGCAGAAUAAGUUGGGAAACGUUGAGGGACGGUCCACUGCUGGUGUAAGAAAUGCAAGAUGACACAGGGUUACAGUUCCAGGUUCGACAGCCGCGGUUAUCGGUCUUACCCACGGCACAGGGGCACAGCAAGAGUCACUCAACAGAACUUGCACUGUUUCUUGUACAUACGUCACUCAAUGAAAAAAUAAAAAGAAAGACCUCAACAUA